rnacentral:lncRNA from 1 species
UGUAAAGAGGUUGUAAUCUAGUUGGGAAGAGUUAUUUCUCACUGCUUAAAAACAAAAACAAAAACUACAGAAUUAAACACCCAAUUCCAAAGGAGAAAGACAUGCUUCCAAGCGCCGAGGGGCAGAGAUGAGGCUGCUGCCACCUCUUCUUGGGAAAUGGUGAAAUCAGAUGAUAGACUCACCGAGGGAGGCGGCCAUGAGUGUUGAAGGUUGCUAUACAUUUUCUAAGAAGAAUUUGAGAAGGUGUCGCUGACAUUAUCUAGGACUGGGUGGAGAAGGACAAGAGCUAAAUCUGGAUGCAUCCCAGUGGUAUUCAGGCUGACUUUGGUGAAGCCAGCUGCCAUGUUGUGAGCUGCCCUUUGGAGAAAACAGUGUGGUGAAGAACUGAGAUCCUGCCUACCAGUCCACAGAGAACUAAAUCCUGCC